CCUACGGGCGGCUGCAGUGGGGAAUAUUGGACAAUGGGGGGAACCCUGAUCCAGCCAUGCCGCGUGUGUGAAGAAGGCCCUCGGGUUGUAAAGCACUUUCAGUGAGGAAGAACGCCUGGUGGUUAAUACCCAUCAGGAAAGACAUCACUCACAGAAGAAGCACCGGCUAACUCCGUGCCAGCAGCCGCGGUAAUACGGAGGGUGCGAGCGUUAAUCGGAAUUACUGGGCGUAAAGCGCGCGUAGGUGGCUUGAUAAGCCGGUUGUGAAAGCCCCGGGCUCAACCUGGGAACGGCAUCCGGAACUGUCAAGCUAGAGUGCAGGAGAGGAAGGUAGAAUUCCCGGUGUAGCGGUGAAAUGCGUAGAGAUCGGGAGGAAUACCAGUGGCGAAGGCGGCCUUCUGGACUGACACUGACACUGAGGUGCGAAAACGUGGGUAGCAAACAGGAUUAGAUACCCCUGUAGUC
rnacentral:rRNA from 1 species